rnacentral:rRNA from 1 species
GGCGAACGCUGGCGGCGUGCCUAAUACAUGCAAGUUGAGCGCUGAAGGUUGGUACUUGUACCGACUGGAUGAGCAGCGAACGGGUGAGUAACGCGUGGGGAAUCUGCCUUUGAGCGGGGGACAACAUUUGGAAACGAAUGCUAAUACCGCAUAAAAACUUUAAACACAAGUUUUAAGUUUGAAAGAUGCAAUUGCAUCACUCAAAGAUGAUCCCGCGUUGUAUUAGCUAGUUGGUGAGGUAAAGGCUCACCAAGGCGAUGAUACAUAGCCGACCUGAGAGGGUGAUCGGCCACAUUGGGACUGAGACACGGCCCAAACUCCUACGGGAGGCAGCAGUAGGGAAUCUUCGGCAAUGGACGAAAGUCUGACCGAGCAACGCCGCGUGAGUGAAGAAGGUUUUCGGAUCGUAAAACUCUGUUGGUAGAGAAGAACGUUGGUGAGAGUGGAAAGCUCAUCAAGUGACGGUAACUACACAGAAAGGGACGGCUAACUACGUG